UCCUACGGGAGGCAGCAGCAGGGAAUCUUGUCCAAUGGGCGAAAGCCUGAGACAGCGACGCCGCGUGGGGGAUGAAGGCCUUCGGGUUGUAAACCCCUUUCAGGAGGGACGAAAUUGACGGUACCUCCAGAAGAAGCCCCGGCCAACUACGUGCCAGCAGCCGCGGUAAUACGUAGGGGGCAAGCGUUGUCCGGAAUUAUUGGGCGUAAAGGGCUCGUAGGCGGCUUGGUAAGUCGGUCGUGAAAGCCCGGGGCUUAACCCCGGGACGCCGGUCGAUACUGCCAUGGCUUGGGUCCGGUAGAGGAGAACGGAAUUCCCGGUGUAGCGGUGAAAUGCGCAGAUAUCGGGAGGAACACCAAUAGCGAAGGCAGUUCUCUGGGCCGGUACCGACGCUGAGGAGCGAAAGCGUGGGGAGCAAACAGGAUUAGAUACCCGGGUAGUCCACGCCGUAAACGUUGGGCACUAGGUGUGGCGGACUCAUCAACGUUCGCCGUGCCGAAGCUAGCGCAUUAAGUGCCCCGCCUGGGGAGUACGGCCGCAAGGCUAAAACUCAAAGGAAUUGACGGGUCCCCGCACAAGCGGCGGAGCAUGCGGCUUAAUUCGAUGCAACCCGAAGAACCUUACCUGGCCUUGACAUUAUGGGAAAAGCCGUGGAAACACGGUGUGCGUAAGCGUCCAUAACAGGUGGUGCAUGGCUGUCGUCAGCUCGUGUCGUGAGAUGUUGGGUUAAGUCCCGCAACGAGCGCAACCCCUAUCCUAUGUUGCCAGCGGGUAAUGCCGGGGACUCAUAGGAGACUGCCGGGGAUAACUCGGAGGAAGGUGGGGACGACGUCAAGUCAUCAUGCCCCUUAUGGCCAGGGCUGCACGCAUGCUACAAUGGUCGAUACAACGGGCAGCGAUCCAGCGAUGGUGAGCGAAUCCCUCAAAGUCGGCCUCAGUUCGGAUUGGAGUCUGCAACUCGACUCCAUGAAGUCGGAGUCGCUAGUAAUCGUUGAUCAGCAAAGCCGCGGUGAAUGCGUUCUCGGGGAUUGUACACACCGCCCGUCACGUCACGGAAGUCGGUAACACCCGAAGUCAGUGGUCCAACACUUAUGUGAGGAAGCUGCCGAAGGUGGGAUCGGUGACUGGGACGAAGUCGUAACAAGGUAGCCGUACUAGUACGUCCAUCUU
rnacentral:rRNA from 1 species